rnacentral:lncRNA from 1 species
CGGUUUCGGAUAUUUCUGUAAGAAAAGUAUUGCAUUGAGAUUCAUUCUUUUUGAUAAAUACUGUCUUUAAAAGUUCAAAGUGAAACUUAGUUUACAUUUAGGAUACUGUAUAAUUAGUUAUCCAAUACCUUAUUACUGUGUUAUUUUUUUACUUUAGAUACUGAAAAUGGGAAAAUGGUUUGUUCAUCUUUCGUUAAUUGUGGUCUUUAUCUUAUUCCUUGGCAUCAUAGCUCUGUUUUCACAUUUCAUGCUUGGUAAUCAUACAAAAAGAAGACAAGAACGAAAAGUAAAGAAAGGACAAUCACUUCAUUUUGAACCAAUAUUUGGAGCUGCGCCAACAUUUGAUAUCACGUGGAAGUUAAAACAUACAAAUUCCUCACCGUUCGUGGAAUACGAUUCUUCAAACGACAAAUUCGUCGUUAAACAGCAAAAUAUAUUAUCAAUUCGACUUAAACUACACAUCAUUAAAAGUAGACAUCCUGUAAAUGAGGCAUGUUUACAUUACAGUGACGGAUGGGGAAAUGUAAAACAGUUUUAUUGAAGAAGAAUACGUACGAAACUCUUCAAAUAAAGGAUAAGACAUUUCUAUUGCCAGGAUCGUAUAUCAGUGUGGACAUUUCCCACCCACGUUAUAUAUCAAGGGGACAUAGCCGCAAUAGUCUCGUCAUUGUACAGUCGUUUUAUAGUGG